GCCAAGCAAGGUUUUGCUACUUCCAUAGUGAUCAGAUAUUGGUUUGCUGUGUGUGGAAAUGUGCAGUGCAGCACUAGUGAAUUUUUCCAUAUGUAUUGCAUAAAAUAAAAAAAUGGUUAUCUAAUGUAAGCCAGAGCACCAGAAAACAAAUUCUACUGUCAUAUUAAAAAAGGCCAUAGUGGAGUUAUGAAAUAAAUAAAUAACAUGAUGAUCUUAAUAAAACAAAUUGCUGUAACUGUUUUAGAUAAAGGAUUCUUUUAUUUCGCUAAUGAAUUUCUUGAAAUAAGAGAUUAUCUUCUUACACUUAAUUAUGUAUCAUAUUUGCUCCAGGGUGUAGAAGCUGCAGAUACAUGAUUCAGUCUGUGGGUCAACAAGUACCCGAAGGUGCUGCAGUUAAAUCCAUUUUCUUUACUUUUCAUAUGUGAUACAAGUCAUGAAGUGGAAACUUAAUCAACCAGAAGAGAAAACAGCUGUUUGUGAGGAAAAUUGAAGCAGAGCAAUAUGAGGACCAGCCUUACUACACAUUACAAUCAAUUCUGAUUCCACAAAAGCAAGUCCAUACCCUUUGGACUGCUCAUUAGAGUUUGAAGGGCUCACACGGUGAAAAAUAUACCUUUGAUACCUUUCAUAGUGAAAUGCUACGUAAUAAAGGGAAACCACAAACUGCCAAGCCAUGUUUUGAAACUGCAGAGACACUCCUUGUGUCCCUUAAAAAAGAAGAAAAACUAAACUUCCCAGCAUCUUGUGAUUUUGGAAACUGUGAAAUGGAUAGAAGAUAUGACUGACUGAAAGGACUCAGUACCUUGAGGAAACGGAAAGAACUGAAUGGAAGGCUUGUCUUGUGCUGAAGUAAGUCUGGAUGAAACUGAGAAAAACGGUACGUAUUUUCAAAUCCCAGUAGAGCUGUGUGCCAAAGCAGCCUAAGAGACCCAUAUCCCAGCACGGAUCUGGGCAGCCUUUUCUGUCGUGCUCUGUAGACCUGUAUGGGAACUGCAUGGGAACUGGUAUUUCAGGUAAUUAGUUUUGGGGAGCCCUUCCCAAGUUAAAUACCUUUCUGAUAUAUACUUGGGCGUUACCUAGCAAGAAGGGCCAGAGGCAUUCAGUAGCUGUAGCCUUACUGAAACAUCUGUUCCAAGCAGUUUACUCAGAUGUUGUUUGUACUCCUGUCCUACAAGAAUGAUGAGACAACUGUGACAUGAUAAUGUCCUCCUUGGACAACUUCUGUUGUUGUGCACUGUGAAAUAACCUCCUUCCAUUUACUGCUUCAUAUAUGCAUUUAAAAUGAAAACACCUAUUUUAAAAUACUAUUUCUUUUCAUAAACAUAUUUUAGAGAUCUGAUAAUUUCUCUCUCUCUUGGUUAAUGAAAGCUUAUGUCCUGUUUUCAGCAAUUUCACAUAUGCCGUUCAGUAAUUAUGCAAAUACACCAGCAUGAAGAAAUUUAAAAUAAUCCUGCAGAGUACACCAUUUUCACAAAGGUAACAAAAAAAAAAAGUAUCUAAAUUAGCUACUUGAUUGUUUUUAUUUUUAAUUAGAUUGUUCUAUGGCAUGUUGCUAGUACGUUCUUCUGGUAUACAAAUCAGGAAGAGACGGCACUUGAAAAUACAAAAAGGAUGUUUGGGAUUUUAACCAUGUUUGUAAUUUGGCUUUUUUGCUUUGAAAAGGAGAAAUACCAUCUUUAACCUUUGCAUUUUUAGAGAGAAAAAGUCAUGUUAAUAUUGGUAGUUAUCAAGUACAGGAAUGUUUUGUGUAAUUAUAUAGGUUAUUUUUCAAAAUUAUUUUAUUACUCUCCCCAUAGAACUACUGGGAACUUCAGAGGGAGGUAAGGGUAGAUAUUGGAGAUAUAUAUGUGGGAGAUAAAGUAUUUGUUAAGAAGCAUACUAGGCCUGAUAAUUUCCUAUUGUCAUAUAGCCUGUAUUUCAGUCAAUAAAGUGUCUUUGCUGUUUAUCUGCCUGCGAGUAGAGCAGCUGCAUAUUGCCACCUCGUGGUGCCGAGCAUGCCCGCCAGCCAAGUGCAGACACUUAACUGUCCUGCCUCUUCAGCUCGGAUUGCUUCUCAAAACUGCUGCAACCACACCGUGAAAUUCUGGCCCAGAAUAUUUGCACGCUGAACAGUUAAACAUAAUAUUGAAUAUGCCUUAAACAACAAGGCCAUCACAGUCUA